rnacentral:tRNA from 1 species
GCCGAUGUAGUUCAAUAUAGAACACUCAUUCUCCCAAACGCGUUAAAUGGGAUGAUAGAUGCAGGUGUGAGUCCUGCCAUCGGCA